rnacentral:rRNA from 1 species
CAGGAUGAACGCUAGCGGCAGGCUUAACACAUGCAAGUCGAGGGGCAUCGCGGGUGGCAACACCUGGCGGCGACCGGCGAACGGGUGAGUAACGCGUGAGCAACAUGUCCUCAGUCGGGGGAUAAGCGAGGGAAACUUCGUCUAAUACCCCAUAACACUUUCAGGCGCAUGCCUUUAAGUUGAAAGCUUUUUUUGCGACUUUGGUUUGGCUCGCGUGACAUUAGCUAGUCGGUGGGGUAACGGCUCACCGAGGCUACGAUGUCUAGGGGUUCUGAGAGGAAGGCCCCCCACAUUGGGACUGGGACACGGCCCAAACUCCUACGGGAGGCAGCAGUGAGGAAUAUUGGUCAAUGGACGGAAGUCUGAACCAGCCAUGCCGCGUGAAGGAAGACUGCCCUAUGGGUUGUAAACUUCUUUUGCAGCAGAGCAAUAAGGCGUACGCGUACGCCGAUGAGAGUAUGUUGCGAAUAAGCAUCGGCUAACUCCGUGCCAGCAGCCGCGGUAAUACGGAGGAUGCGAGCGUUAUCCGGAUUUAUUGGGUUUAAAGGGUGCGUAGGCUGUUUUGUAAGUCAGCGGUGAAAGACCGGGGCCCAACUCCGGA